rnacentral:rRNA from 1 species
UUUUGACCUCAGUUCAGACAAGGCUACCCGCCGAAUUUAAGCAUAUUACUAAGCGGAGGAAAAGAAACUAACAAGGAUUCCCCUAGUAACGGCGAGCGAACCGGGAAGAGCCCAACUUGAAAAUCUAAAGGUUGUACCUUUCGAAUUGUAGUCUAGAGACGCGUUCUCUGCGGCGGAUCGGCUCCAAGUUCCCUGGAAGGGACGUCAGAGAGGGUGAGAACCCCGUCGAAGCCGGUUUCAGUCGCUCCACGAGGCGCAGUCGAGGAGUCGGGUUGUUUGGGAAUGCAGCCCUAAGCAGGUGGUAAAUUCCAUCUAAGGCUAAAUAUUGGCGAGAGACCGAUAGCGAACAAGUACCGCGAGGGAAAGAUGAAAAGACCUUUGAAAAGAGAGUUAAAAAGUACCUGAAAUUGUUGAGGGGGAAGCGAUUCAAACCUGUGGGUGCUCCCGGGGCAGUAGCAAUACACGCGCUCGGGGCUGGUCAACGUGGGUUAGCUUGGAAGGAUAUCACUUCCGAGUUGACCGAGGACUCGACGUUGGCGGAAAGGUUUGCAUUGACCCGUCUAGAAACACGGACCAAGGAGUCUAA